CGUUAUAUUAUGUUAAAUAGGUCUUGCAACCAAGAGCAAAUCCAACGUUUGUGUCCUGGAAAGGUGGAGCGAUUCUUGGAAUUCUUGAUUUUGGUCGGGAUGCUUGGAUACAUCGUGACGACUGGAUUCACAAUGGGAUUCACAUUGGAAGUGGAAGAAAGUACAAAGACUCUUAUUUCCUUCAAGCACAGGCAAUGUGUUACAUCAAUUCUUAAAAGCUUUCAGAUAUGACUGGCAGAGCGAACUGGGUGGAGUAAAUUGUUGGUCUUCGUUUGUACAGAAGCUAAAUGGUAGAUACUUAGCUUAGCUACGCAUUUCAGACUUUUUGUAUUUGAUUGUUAAAUAUCAAAUUCCUUUAUCCGGCUUAUUCAAUUCGAGGAAAGUAUCAUGAAAAUCUCCUUCAAUUA